rnacentral:rRNA from 1 species
UACGUAGGGUGCAAGCGUUAAUCGGAAUUACUGGGCGUAAAGCGUGCGCAGGCGGUUUUGUAAGUUUGUCGUGAAAGCCCCGGGCUCAACCUGGGAAUUGCGAUGAAGACUGCAAGGCUUGAAUCUGGCAGAGGGGGGUAGAAUUCCACGUGUAGCAGGUGAAAUGCGUAGAGAUGAUGGAGGAACACCGAUGGCGAAGGCAGCCCCCUGGGCCAACCACGUGACGCCUCGAGGCACGAAAGCGUGG